rnacentral:rRNA from 1 species
CGUUGAAUGACGUGCUUGCACUGAUUUCAACAAUGAAGCGAGUGGCGAACUGGUGAGUAACACGUGGGAAAUCUGCCCAGAAGCAGGGGAUAACACUUGGAAACAGGUGCUAAUACCGUAUAACAACAAAAUCCGCAUGGAUUUUGUUUGAAAGGUGGCUUCGGCUAUCACUUCUGGAUGAUCCCGCGGCGUAUUAGUUAGUUGGUGAGGUAAAGGCCCACCAAGACGAUGAUACGUAGCCGACCUGAGAGGGUAAUCGGCCACAUUGGGACUGAGACACGGCCCAAACUCCUACGGGAGGCAGCAGUAGGGAAUCUUCCACAAUGGACGAAAGUCUGAUGGAGCAAUGCCGCGUGAGUGAAGAAGGGUUUCGGCUCGUAAAACUCUGUUGUUAAAGAAGAACACCUUUGAGAGUAACUGUUCAAGGGUUGACGGUAUUUAACCAGAAAGCCACGGCUAACUACGUGCCAGCAGCCGCGGUAAUACGUAGGUGGCAAGCGUUGUCCGGAUUUAUUGGGCGUAAAGCGAGCGCAGGCGGUUUUUUAAGUCUGAUGUGAAAGCCUUCGGCUUAACCGGAGAAGUGCAUCGGAAACUGGGAGACUUGAGUGCAGAAGAGGACAGUGGAACUCCAUGUGUAGCGGUGGAAUGCGUAGAUAUAUGGAAGAACACCAGUGGCGAAGGCGGCUGUCUAGUCUGUAACUGACGCUGAGGCUCGAAAGCAUGGGUAGCGAACAGGAUUAGAUACCCUGGUAGUCCAUGCCGUAAACGAUGAGUGCUAAGUGUUGGAGGGUUUCCGCCCUUCAGUGCUGCAGCUAACGCAUUAAGCACUCCGCCUGGGGAGUACGACCGCAAGGUUGAAACUCAAAGGAAUUGACGGGGGCCCGCACAAGCGGUGGAGCAUGUGGUUUAAUUCGAAGCUACGCGAAGAACCUUACCAGGUCUUGACAUCUUCUGCCAAUCUUAGAGAUAAGACGUUCCCUUCGGGGACAGAAUGACAGGUGGUGCAUGGUUGUCGUCAGCUCGUGUCGUGAGAUGUUG